GCAAUCUGGAAAAAAUGUCCAGGCAACAGUCAUUCCCAUUCCAGGUUUCCAGGCAACAAUCAUUCCAAUUCCAGGUGCUCAAUAAAGCUUAAGGUGUGACUACUUAGAAACUCAUUUGCAAAGUACACAUGACCAAGACGGCGGGUUCUAAAGCCUGAUCAACUUCCUUCAGUCUGUCUUCAAGUUGAAAGACUCCUCUGUCACCCCAUAUGAGAACACUUGAAAUCAGAACCAGAUACCUGUCAUCCAAAAGUCAGUAUUUGGAGGGGCUGGAGAGAUGGCUCGGCAAUAGUGGUCAUUACAGAUAUGAAGUAGCAAUGAAAUAAUUUCAUGGAACUGUAGGCAUGCACCACCACACCAAACUCCCAAAAAGAACCACAGCUGUAAAUGCGAAAGAGAAACCAGCGCUACUUCUCAAAGAAGAAAAGAAUCUCUCUUCAGCUCAGAGGAGAACAAGACAUGUUUCAUUAAUAUUUAAAGCUAGCAAAGAUGCUUGAGCUGAAAAGGAGAGCUUGGAUCAUCAGCGAAACGACUAGAGACAGUAACAGUAAACUUUUGCCAUUUUAAGACU